AUAGCUCAAUUGGUAGAGCAACUGAUUUGUAAUCAGUAGGUUGGGAGUUCAAGUCUCUCU
rnacentral:tRNA from 1 species